rnacentral:rRNA from 1 species
UACGGAGGGUGCACGCGUUAUCCGGAUUCACUGGGUUUCAAGGGUGCGUAGGUGGUCAAGUAAGUCAGUGGUGAAAUCUCCGGGCUUAACCCGGAAACUGCCAUUGAUACUAUUUGUCUUGAAUACUGUGGAGGUCAGCGGAAUAUGUCAUGUAGCGGUGAAAUGCUUAGAUAUGACAUAGAACACCAAUUGCGAAGGCAGCUGGCUACACAAAUAUUGACACUGAGGCACGAAAGCGUGGGGAUCAAACAGG